UCCUCCUUAGUUCAGUCGGUAGAACGGCGGACUGUUAAUCCGUAUGUCACAGGUUCAAGUCCUGUCGAGGGAGCCA
rnacentral:tRNA from 1 species